CCCCGUCUUGCAGGCCAAAGAGAGGGAUGUGGAAAUGUAUCCUCGUCUCCUUUCUACCUUUCAACCCGCCUUUUUUUCUUUCUUUUUUUUUUGUCGUCGCCACCAUGGCCUUAUUGUCUGCGGGUGAACACUCGCCUGAUCUUAACAAAAAACUCAGUUCAACCAGCAAGCCUCCACUGCUACCUGCACAACUAUCUGUCCUUAAGGCUGAGGUAGUAGAUUGAAUAGUUGUGGGGUUCAUGUCCUCCUUUUGAGAUAACUAUACAAUCUACUGUCUUUCCGAAGGAAACAGGUUAAUCUUCCAUGAUGCCGAAGGCGGUACGUGCAAGGGAAGCUCUGUGGAUAAAAAGAACACAAAGACUGAGUAAAUACCACAUGAAACAAAGAACUUAACCCACAGCUGUUGAGAUGAAACUGCAGACACAACAAAGACUCUACAGUUUUACAAGAUGCAACAGUGGAACUGGUCUACUGUGACAUGUUCUGAAGUUGGUACACAACGACCAAAGUCUUGCUUUGAAGGUUGUAAAUUUGUGCUCGAAGUUGAGCCUAGCAAGGUGAGGUAGUAGGUUGUAUAGUUUGUGGGAUGGAGUAAAUCCUAUUCAGGUGAUAACUAUACAGUCUAUUACCUUCCUUGAGAGGUACAAUGAGUGCUUGGGAUGAAGCUCACUCAGUGAUGAGAGGGACGACAGAGACACUCUGAUGCCAUCUUGUGGCUGAAGACAAACAUCACUUUGGAAAUGAUUUGUGUACCUUUGUUUUCUAUGAACAAUUUAUGAAGGACUGAUGACAAUACUGAAAAUUAAAGUUCAUUCACUACUGUUUUGACAAUUUAGAAUUGAAGACAUAAUCUGAUACAUGAUUCAAAACCAUAAUUUUAUCAUUCUACAGUCAAAUUAGAGGACUGCCAUUAGACUGAUGGUAAAUUAGUUUGAUAAUCCUGACAAAAGAGCAACAGUUUAAGACUUGCAUAUCCAGAAAUAGGAAAUGAGAGCGUUUUAGGCAUUUGAAAGUAGAAUUCGGUGUCACAUCCUAUUUAGAUGCAGACUGCAAAGAGAGUUGUUCUGAAGUUUACCAGCUUUGGGUAAAUGAAAUAAAUUGAUUUAGAACACAUUUUGGUCGUCAGUGCUGGUUUGUAAAUGACAAUAAACUACACUGCCUGUCCAGAAACAAAGUCGCCACCUGGACUUAACUAAACAAAUAGAUAAGAGCCUUCCACUGGAUAAUUAUAGCAGUUAUUUAACCCUAGCUGAUGCAGUGAGGAGCUUCUCAUUUCUUAAACAGCCAUGUUGGAAGACAUAUACUGUGGUCAUGGAAAGGAUGUUAAUCUGUCUCAGAAGGGUCAAAUUAUUGGCCUGUAUCAAGCAAAGAAAACAACUAAGGAGAUGAAACUACUAAAAUCAGGUUAAGAACUGUCCAACGAAUUAUUAAAACCUGAAGGAUAGUGGAGAACCAUCAUCUUCCAGGUACAAAUGUGGUUCUAACAAACUCUUAGAUGAUCGCAGGAAAUCGACAGUAGAACUCGCAGCAUUUUCACAUGCACAAUGCAAAGAAGUGGUUCAGGGAGCAUGAGACGUCAUUUUCACUAAUGGACUGUCCAUACAGUCCAGAUCUCAGCCCCACUGAGAAUCUUCUGGAUGUUCUGGAGAAGACUUCAUACAGCGGUCCGACUCUCCCAUCAUCAAUACAAGGUCUUGGCAGAAAAUUAAUCCAACUCUGGACAGAAAUAAAUGCUGUGACAUUGAAGAAGCUCACCAAAAUGAUGAAACAGCAAAUGUGUGCCAUACCCAAAGCUAAAGGCAGUCCAACAAAAUAUUAGAGUG
ensembl:lncRNA